UUUUAACUUUUAUUAGAA
rnacentral:tRNA from 1 species